UUUUUUUAAAAAAGGGUCAAAAACUUAACUUUAGUUUUCUGCAGAAAGCAUUUCAGAGCUACCGAUAUGACAAACUCGGUGACACCAAAGCAGCAACAGAGUCUAAACAUGCAAUUUUGGUCAGACCGAAAUGCAGUUCGGUGACUCCGAGAUGCUAGGAUUUCACAGAGUGAGUGACUUCGGUCACACCGAUUCGUACGCUUCGGUCAGACCGAGUUGUACUUGUGCAAUGGCCUGAGCCAAAUCGGUGAGAUCGAGAUCCUCAGAUUGGUCAGUCCGAGAUGAGUUCGGCGGAAACCUAACCCUAAGUUUUUAAAUCAAAUCUAAUCUAAUGGAACUUUUCAUUGGAUAGAUUGAUCUCAUUCAUGGCAAGAAUAAUGGCAAUAAUCUCUUUGCAAGAAUCAGAAAAAGGAACACACAAAGAGGUCGAAUUCGUACCCUAACUUGGCGACAAACUCGCUACGACGACAAGGGCAGUGAGAUUUCUGUUGACGGCGACGAAGUCCAGCGGCAGGAGGACGCUGGCGACAACGGAGACGAUCCGGAGACCAAGGGGCGACAGAGCUAGGAGGUGCGGACGAGUGGUUUGGAGGAGUUUCCAAAAUUUCAACCCAUGGUAUAUAUACCCAGUCACUGUCGGUGUGACCGAGUGGAACGACUCGGUGGCACCGAGAUGCAAAACUGCUAGCCGUUACUACAACUCGGUGUGACCGAAUUGUUUAAAUCAGUUGCACCGAGGUGAAAACCUAGAUCAACUUAAUGAAUUCAGUAAGACCGAGUAUAAUGAAUCAGUCGGACCGAGAUGCAUUAAGAGGUUUUGGAAGUUUAAGCCCUUGACGGAUUGCUGGCUCUGAGUGCUCCUCACCCAGAGGGUCCAAAUUCGACUUGUUCAAGCUUUGUGACGUAGCAUGAUUAGAGUUUGAGACGAGAAAAGCAUAGAUAUCUAGAGGGAGUACUUAGGCAUUCUUGUCCAUCCAUUUCGCAAAAAGGAAAGGCAAACAAUCAAAGCAACAAAUGGAUGUCCUUUAAUAGAGAAAAUUAUGCAACCAACAUGCUCACACAAUAAGAUAGCAAAUGAAAUAUGGGGUAAAACAUGCACAAAACACUCUAGCAUCUAUCAAGCAAUUGGCGAUGACUAGGUCAUCUAUAUAUGAGUAUAUUGACUCGGUGGGACUGGUAUGAUCAACUCGGUGGGACCGAUGUGCUAGGGCUAGGGCAAAACCUCAUCUCGGUGAGACCAAUUGCAUAAACUCGGUGAGACUGAUUUAAACAAUGAGCAAACAUAAAGUUGGUCAAGCAAACUCGGUCGGACUGAACGCUCAUUUUGGUGAGACUAAAAUGUUACGAAGGGAAACAGAUAGUUUGCAAUGCGAACUCGGUGGGACGGAUCGCUCCGGUGAGACCAAAACAUUACGAAGGGAAAUAGAGAGUUUGCAAUGCCAUCUCGGUGAGACCGAGAGCCUUAUCGGUGAGACCAAAUUGUCUAGGGUUUCUGGCAGUGACUAUGUUAACAGAACUCGGUGGCGCCAGAUAGAACAAAUCGGUGGGGCCGAGUUUGACUUCAAGUGGCUGAGGGUUUUGGAGCAAUAUCACUAAGCACUUUGAGCAAGUAGACCAUUAAGCAACACCUCAUCCCCUUUUAAUAGUAUUGGCUUUCCUAUGGACUCAAUGUGAUUUUGGAUCACUAAAAUGAAAAUGAAGAGUCUUGAGCCUUUGCCAAUCUUUGUCCUUAGCAUUUUGAGGGGUCCACAUCUCUAGUCCAUGCCACGCCAAUCAUUGAACUUUCUGAAAUAUUUAACUUGAAUGGAUAUUAGUUCAAUGAGCUAUAUGUUGUUAUGAAUUACCAAAACCACCCGGGGAUUAGUUGCACUUUCAAACAUGUACCUCAAGUCCAGAUUCGCAACUCCGCGAUCUAACCGUACUUUAACAUUUGCUGCACCACUCCUCUUAUUAUCAAAAGUAUAUGGCCUUCCAGCAAAACCCAAAUCAGCUAGCUCACACACUUCCGGUGAAUCCCGAGAAGCAAGCAUUUGGGCCGGCGCACACGGCGUGUUGGAAAAAUGUUCAAAAUCCCACAAUGGUUCAUUAAAAUCUCCAACAGCCAACCAAGGAAGAUCAUUCUGGGUAGCUAUAUCUUCCAUCAAGGACCACAUGAAGUGUCCAUUCUCAACACGGGGCUCUCCAUACACGCAUGUCAGGUGCCAUUUAGUCUCUCCAGGAGCUUGGAUGUGUGCAUCAAUGCAUCUUGAAUUUGCAAGCCUAAUAUACACUGUCCAAUUUUCAUGCCAAUAGAGAGCAAGCCCCCCACUAUUACCAUCACUACUAACACCUUCAAAACCUCGCAGACCAAACCUAUCUCAUUAGCUUUUCAUCUUAUCCUUACUUUGCCUAGUUUCGCAAAGGAAAACUAGGCUAGAGGAAUGCGACUAGAUCAUAGUCGCUAGGCCUCGAACUGUCUGGGAGUUCCCCCACCCCCCGGUAGUUCCAACUUAGGAUAGUCAUUGCCCCCGGCGGUCCUCCACCAUGAAGGCCACUGAUCUUCUGGUUGUUGUACUGUCAAUUGCCAUACCAUUUCCUCCUUUUAGCUUCUUUUUAUUCACAUUUUUCUGUGGCAUUCCAGUUAUGUUAUUAUUCAGUAGCUCCUCUCCUAGUGCCUCAAACUGAUCAAUAAUAAGAUAAGUAUCUCCCAAAGGAACAAUUGCACCGCUAUUCAUUUCAAAGACAUCCGCUACAGCAGAACCUGUAGGAAGGGGGCCUGAGUCCUCUGCGUCUCUUUUACGAAGGACAUUAAGAUCAUCCUUUUGCUGUUCUUUCUCUACACCGAGCUCAGACACUCCGUCGGUCUCCAUUUUGAAGUAGAGUUUGCAUCAUCCAACUAUCACAUACACCACCAUGCCGAUGAUGAACAACAUACCGUGGACAAUUUGUUCUCACGACAUACUGGUGUUCGGUCCAAUUGGAUCACAUUGGGUUGUUUAGUUGCCAUGUAUGUGUGCACUGGUGCACAUGCUAAUUAUACCAUUGUAACUUCUCCAUGUAAUAUUUAUUUAUCUCGCUGUCUUCAUCAACAAAUUCAACAAUAUAUAUCUAAGAAGUCAAAUGAAAUGAAUAUCAUACCAUCAUGAUUGAGUCACAACUGUUGCCGGCAUGAAGAUCUGCAAUGCUAGAGUAUUUUCUUGAUCCACCUUUGGUGCCGGAUAAGACAAGUAGUAUGGGUCGGAUGGAGUAGCACAUAUGUUGAUGCAAAGUUGGAUGGAAAUGACAUACCUUGGUUUAGAAAGAACACUCUCAACAUAGGAUCCAGUCUUCAUUCGUGUGUCUACACGUUGGAUCUUUCCAAUCUACACUUCUGUUCGUCGGCGACAUGUGCUGUUCUGGUGUGCUGGUUCUACGACUUCCUGACUAUCUGCUACGACAAGGUUUGCCAAACUUCCGUGAAGGAGGGACGAUGACGAUGGUGCGCCACCAUCUAUUUGCACUAGUGCUUGUAGUCAUCGCUAUGUGAUCUACAAACAAGAAUGUAAUUUCAAUUGUUUCUUGUGUUUUUUGUAUCACCAUGAUUGUUUUUUUUGAAUUGUUUGGAUUGCUUACCACAUGUGUCACGUGGUGUAUCGCCAUGAUGUUUGAUGAAAAGAUUGGAAGAUUUUCCCAAAAAGAAAAAUAAAAGAAUCCAUUCUCCACGUAGGAUAGGGGCUGGACUAAGACUGCUUGGCAAAUGUGCCAGCUAUCAAACUAAAUUCCCAAAGGGAAAAAAUCAUGCAAUUACAAAAAGCAAGAGUGACUCUUCUGCCAUGCACAUGUUAUACCAUGCAUGCAUUUAUAGUCCAUUUUUGCUCUUAGAUUUGUGCCAUGUUUUUUAGGCAAUUAUGUCUUGUUUAGCUCAGGUUCAAUGUUAUUGUGAUUGGACUUAUCCCUUUGUCUGUCCUCCCAAGCGAAUAUGCGACUAGGUUUCCCGCUUACAGUCGUCGCAUCGCCGAUCCUGUCUUGUCUCAUGUUGCCUUAGUAUCAUGAGGUGUGGUGGAUCCAUGCCCUUGCCGGCGGGAGGGCUUUGUUUUUAGAUGUUUCUUUGAGUUUUGUUAGGGUUUGUGUCAUGUGUGGUGGAAGGCCGGACGACGAUGACUCCUGAAGACGGAAUAAAGUUCUCCCCGCCUAGCCCCCGUCCCUAUGGUGCGUCUAGCAUCGUCGAAGAGCGUGUAGAGGUGUGUCUCCGUCAUAUCUCACGGGGUUUGGUCAUGGUUGUUUUUGGUGAAUCAGCUCAAACCAGGUCUUUGUUCAUCUAUAUUCUUGUGUCUUCAAGUUGGAUCCUUUUGAUCUUAGUUUAUUUUCAUCGGCGGUGAUUGCUGUUAUGGUCCUAUUGGGUCUUAGCACGACAACUUUCCGGCUAUCUACUACAACAAAUUUUGCACGGCUUCGACGAGUGCGGGGCGAUGAUGGUGCCGCGUCUUAGUCGUCGUUAGAUGAUCUACAAAUUUAAAUUAAAUUUUUGUUACUUUUGAUGUUCUUUAUACUAUCAUGAUUGCAACUAGUAGAUCGGAAGUUUUCUAUAGAAAAAUUAGCCGGCCUUGAUGAAUAAAAUAAAAUGCCAAGAGGGCGGUGUUAAAGAGAAAGAAAGAAAGAGAAAAUGCACCGUGAGGCCACAACACGACACGUGUACCCGGUCUAGACCACUCCCCCUUUCUUUCGUUCGGCCCUCGCAGGCCUCCUCGGGUUACCUUUGCCUAAAUCACCAUUUUCAUCAGAAACUUAAUUUGGAUCCAUCUCUUCUCUUCUCCCGUCGCCUCCGAACCCUAGCUAGCUACCUCGGUCCAGUCCGGCUGCGAGAGGCCACCGGCGGCAUGGCUGCGUGCGGCGGCGGAGCAUAGCACGCGAUGCGACCGCUCUAAUCGGAUCCAAUCGAAUCCCGCCGCACCGCCCGCCCCGCUCGCCGUGGCCGAUGACCGCGUCCCUCCCCAAACGGCGGCGAUGAUGGAGGGAGCCGCCGGCGCCGGCCGGGCUCCCGACCGGCCGACGCGCCGGGUCGCCGCUCCUCGGGCCCAGCCCCUCCCGCCGCGCCGUCACGCAUCGGCUCGGGGGCCCCCCUCGGGGAUGCCGCCUGUGCGGGAGGCGUCCGCAGCGGCGCGGGCUGGGGACCGGGCGGCGGGGCCCGUGGUGCGCUCCGGUCGAGGGCUUGGUCGGGCCUGGCGCGGGAUCUGAGCCGCCGUCGAUGGAUUUUUGGCCAGCUUGGCUGCAUCUUGCUUUCGAUUCGGUACUAUCCCCAUCUCUCUCUCUCUCAGACUCGCACUCGCUCACUCUGUGUGUGCUCGCGCGCGCAGAGUUGACACCAGUUAACCCUAACCCGAAACCAAAUCAGGCGAGCUCUCGUUGCCGGAUCGCUGACCCAUCGUCCCGGUGGCCGCUGCCUCAGUUCCACACCGCUACGGAGCCGCUAGCCACCGCCGUUCCAUUGCCUUGGAUUCGGUUGUGGCGUGGGCUGGAACCGUGCUCUGUUGUCUGAUGCGUCGUUCAAGCGGGAGGUUUGGUCGGCCGAGGCCAGGUAUGAGCAGCUCCUGAGCAGGAUGGAUGGAUGCAUUCAUGUGUCGUGAACUAAAACCACGACUCCUAUUUUGGAACGGAGGGAGUACAUUUUGGAACGGAGGGAGUAUGUAUGUAUGGAUAUCAUUGUCAUGUUGCUUGGUGUGGGGGUUGAACCUCCUUUUUUGGAAAAAAAAAGAGGAGCAAUGAUGAUGGUGAUGACGACGAUGGCUGAAAUAAUCAUGUCUUGAGCAAUCAAGACAGCCGUGGCGUGGUGGUACUAAACAGAGCUGAACAAAUCGGUGUCCGCGUUGGAGUUGGCCUUAGAGCCCACCCUUGCCUCUCUUGCAGCCUGUCCAAUUCAUUGCUGAUGUUGGUUGCUUUGUGCCUCGGAUGGUCAUUCUGUUGAGUGAUAACCAUGGCAGUUCUCUUACAUCGUGAUGGGUAGAUUAUGCAGCAAGAGAUGGUGAGGGUUUGGGCUUGAAGAUGGAAGACAAAACUGAGCCUCUUUUGCUAUGCUACAUAUACCCCCACCCCUCUACCUCUAACCCUAAGCCAAAUCAGUCGAGCUCUCAUUGCCAACUCGCUGUCCAAUCGUCUGGGUGGUGCCCUCUUCAGUUCACUGCUGCGGUGCUGCCAGCCUCUGCUGUUCCAUUGCCUUGGAUUUGGCUGUGGCGUGGGCUGGGAACCGUACGGUGUAAUCUGGGGCGUCAUCAGGUCUGGUUGGUCGGUCCAGGCCAGGCAUGAGUAGCUCCUGAGGCUGAUGGGGAUGGAUGGAUGGACAUGUGCAUGCAUGUAAAUUCACUCAUUUUGCUCCGUAUGUAGUCCAUAUUGGAAUCUCUAAAAGGACUUAUAUUUAGAAACGGAGGGAGUAUGAUCUAAAUGCUCUUAUAUUUGUUUACAGAGGGAGUAUGUAUGUAUGUAUGGAUAUCAGGGUCAUCUUGCUUGGUGGGCAAACGCUGGGGGUACAACCUCCUUUUCGGUAAAAAAAUGAGGGGCGAUGAUGAUGACUGUGGCCGAAAUAAGCAUGUCUUGAGCAAUCAAGACAGCUGUGGCCUGUGGGUACUAAGUUAGAGCCCACCUCCCUUGCAGCAUGUUCAAUUCAUCGGUAAUGUUGGAUGUUCUUCACCUCGGACGGUCAUUCUGAUAAGUGAUAACCAGGGCAGUUCUCUUACAUUGUGAUGGGUAGAUUAUGCAGCAAGAGAUGUGACUGUUGGGUUUGAAGAUGAAAUGCAAAACUGAGCCCUCUUUUUCUUACGAUCCUUAUUUCCCCUCUCUCUACAACAACAACAACAACAACAACAACAACAAAGCCUUUAGUCCCCAACAAGUUGGGGUAAGCUAGAGGUGAAACCCAUAAGAUCUCACGCCAACUCAUGGCUCUGGCAAAUGGAUAGCAAGCUUCCACGCACCCCUGUCCAUAACUAGUUCUUUGGUGAUACUCCAAUCCUUCAGGUCUCUCUUAACGGACUCCUCCCAUGUCAAAUUCGGUCUACCCCGACCUCUCUUGACAUUCUCCUCACGCUAUGCACUGGAGCUUCUGGGGGCCUGCGCUGAAUAUGCUCAAACCAUCUCAGACGAUGUUGGACAAGCUUCUUUUCNNNNNNNNNNNNNNNNNNNNNNNNNNNNNNNNNNNNNNNNNNNNNNNNNNNNNNNNNNNNNNNNNNNNNNNNNNNNNNNNNNNNNNNNNNNNNNNNNNNNNNNNNNNNNNNNNNNNNNNNNNNNNNNNNNNNNNNNNNNNNNNNNNNNNNNNNNNNNNNNNNNNNNNNNNNNNNNNNNNNNNNNNNNNNNNNNNNNNNNNNNNNNNNNNNNNNNNNNNNNNNNNNNNNNNNNNNNNNNNNNNNNNNNNNNNNNNNNNNNNNNNNNNNNNNNNNNNNNNNNNNNNNNNNNNNNNNNNNNNNNNNNNNNNNNNNNNNNNNNNNNNNNNNNNNNNNNNNNNNNNNNNNNNNNNNNNNNNNNNNNNNNNNNNUUCCGGUUUCUAUGGUGCUGCCAGCCGCCGCCAGUCCAUUGCCUUGGAUUUGGUUGUGGCGUGGCUGGGAACCGUAAGGCGUGUCUGAUGCGUCAUCCACAUUGUGAGGUUUGGUCGGUCGAGGCCAGGUAUGAGCAGCUCCUGAGACUGUCUAAGUUACUCACCACUAUGACUAGCUAUGGUCAUGUUGCUUGGCCAUUUGACCCUUUUUUUUAAAAGAGAGGGGCGAUGAUGAUGCCUGUGGCUGAAAUAAUUAUGUAUUGAGCAAUCAAGACAGCCAUAAUAGGGGCCCCAAAUGGGUGCUGGCGUUGGAGAUGCCCGUAAGAGCUCACCCUUCUCUUGCAGCCUGUUCAAUUCAUGGCUAAUGUUGGAUGUUCUGCGCCUUGGAUGGUCAUUCUGAUGAGUGAUAACCAGGGCAGUUCAAUUACAUCGCGAUGGGUAGGUUAUGCAGCAAGAGACGUGUGUUGGGCUUCAAGAUGAAAGGCAAAACUGAGCCCUCUUGCUACGCUACAAAUACUCAGUUUUUCCUUCUCCACUGUACAUUGUUUUAAUUUUCUAUUCCUCUCUAUUGUGUUGAUGUGAGAUCCGGAUCUGGAUUGAUAUCUUCUCUUGGUGAUGAACCCAACCACCCUAGCUUUACUUGGGUUGGUUUCUAGUUGGCAUCGUUUUUGCCUUUCUAAUUGUACAUACUAUAUAUGUGUCAAACGGUUGCCCUUUUUUCCUCCAAUGCUUGUAGCUAUUGGCAGUUCUAUUCAACUAGUUAACGAGAAGCUAUUUUCUUGCUUAUCUUGUCCUUCCAGAUGCUUCUUCAAAGACAAAGUUUUGAUCUGUUAUGUCUCUGUUUUCUAUAAACUGAAGCUCAGAUUACCUUCGUAUUUGUUUUGGUC
rnacentral:lncRNA from 1 species